rnacentral:rRNA from 1 species
UAACAGAGAGAAGCGAGACGGAGACGUUAAGNGAACCCAAAAAAGUAAGUCUCAGUUCGGAUUGAAGGCUGAAAUUCGCCUUCAUGAAGCCGGAAUCGCUAGUAAUCGCGGAUCAGCAUGCCGCGGUGAAUACGUUCCCGGGCCUUGUACACACCGCCCGUCACACCAUGAGAGUUUGUAACACCCAAAGCCGGUGGGGUAACCUUUUGGAGCCAGCCGUCUAAGGUGGGACAGAUGAUUGGGGUGAAGUCGUAACAAGGUAUC